CCUUUCUCUUCCAGGAGAGGAGAUGGAAUUUUCCAAAGUUCCUGAGUUGACCUCUUCAGUGCCAGGCAUUGGCAUUGUGGAGAUGAACUAGGCAGGUACUCUCCCUCAAGUACUUCCCAGCCCAGAAGGGGACAGGACCACACCUGAGGACUAUCCUAAAGAUCUGAACAGUGGAGACAGAAUGAAGAGAGCUUGCUUGGACAGCUUUAUGUAGCAGAGCUGGUACAAGUGACUUAGGCCUUGAAGGAUUGAGAAGUCCUGGCUCAACGUGAGACUCCUUUAUGAGCUGACGAAGAGAUACUCAGUGUACCAGAUCAGUAGGCACAUAGGGAAUCUGGGUACUGGGAUCUAAGUAGUCUGGAGACUGGGUGGUCCUCACAUCUCUUUCUCCCCUGUUGAGGCUGAAGAGUUGAAGGGUAAGGGCCAGCCCAGUUGUGGCUGCUGGCUUUGGGGCUCUUCAGCCACUGGGGAAGCUCCAGGGAAAAGGAUGGUGUCCUUAAGAAACAGCAGCUUAGGUCUGGCCCGUUUUCCCUAAAGCAGGGAAAGCAAGUUGGUCCCAACAACUCACGGGACCAACAACUGCACCUUCCUGUCUGUUAGAAGCUGCUUCUUCCUGCUUUGAACAUGGAGAAACUGAGGACAGAGAAAGCCUUGGCAUACCAUCUAGUCCAGCUCCCUUUUUGGCUCUGAAGGGAAGAAAGCAGGGGAUAUAUAAAGACAUUCCUGGCAUCUUUUUAGCACAAUAAUGUUCAUGUUUUUGGAAGCAAAAGUUGUCUUGAUUUUUACCCAGACCAACCAGGUAGGUACCCUCUAUCUCAUCAUCCCCAUUAAAAGUCAGCAAACUUAGGCAGCUUCCUCAAGAGCUGCCCCUAACUCGAGGCAGAAUUAGAACUUCAGGUAUCUCUUACCCACUCAUAUCCAUAAUCAACACGUACCUCCUAACAGAGUGGACUCUGGACUCCUGAGCAUCAUUCAAGGAAUUCUCUGGUCUCUAAACCCAAGUCUAAAGGCAGCUGAUUUAUCUGAUUUAUCCCUGGGAGCCACACCCAGCACAGGGCCAAGCACAAACACAACAUCACAUGAACGAGGACAGUGAGUCACUUGGGAUAUGGAGAGACGCAAGAGGAUCAGAAGUUUGAGGCCACCCUCAGGAACACAGCAAGUCUGAGGGCAGCCCGAGCCACACACGCUUCUUACCAAGAAAGGAUGAAGCCAAUGUUCCCACUCUAUCCUAAAAUAGGCUGCCAAGCACACCCAAGAAUGUGUCCUGUGACCCCACACUAGAAGACCUUGACACUCAGUAUGAUCGCAUCACGAAGCCUGAUCUAUACCCAAGGGUGGGAACCGCAUCACUGUGGUCUCUACCCAUCAUGGAGACCCUCUCACUCACUCACUCGCCCACUCACUCACAGUGUGACCUUGGGAAGCCACUGAACUGAUCUAGUCUCUCUCCCAUAAAAUGGACUAAUGGUUGCAUCUCCCCCGAGAGCUUGGCAGAAGGGUUAAAAUUAAUAUGUACUGAAUGCUAUUGAUUAUAUAAAGUUAUUAUAUGUGAAGGACAUGUAA
rnacentral:lncRNA from 1 species